UCAUAAAGUAAUUAUUAACUUUUCUGUGGUCCUUAGGAAAAAAAAUAUGCUUUUGAGCCCAGGAUUUUCCGUGCUUGCUUUGGGCCAGGGAACUGAACUGUGACAAAAAUGGAGAAAAGACCCAGAAAGCUUGUGUAAAUUGGAACCAAACCAGAGGCAUAAUUUCUUGUACAGAUUGGGUCCAAGUUGGAACUCAGCAACAGAAGUGAUGUUUCUCGGAGACCUCCAUCCUGCCUAAUCCUGCACUGUGAUCCACAUCUAUCCUGCAAUACAGUA